rnacentral:tRNA from 1 species
UGUGGCUCAGUGGUAGAGCACUCGCCUAGCAUGUGUGAGGCACUGGGUUCAAUCCUCAGCA